UACAGAGGGUGCGAGCGUUAAUCGGAAUUACUGGGCGUAAAGCGCGCGUAGGCGGCUUUGCAAGUCGGGUGUGAAAUCCCCAGGCUUAACCUGGGAACUGCAUUCGAGACUGCAUUGCUAGAGUAUGGGAGAGGGAAGUGGAAUUUCCGGUGUAGCGGUGAAAUGCGUAGAUAUCGGAAGGAACAUCAGUGGCGAAAGCGACUUCCUGGACCAAUACUGACGCUCAUGUGCGAAGCGUGGGGAGCAAACAGG
rnacentral:rRNA from 1 species